GUUUGACCUCAAAUCAGGUAGGA
rnacentral:rRNA from 2 species